AAAAGAAAGCACUCGGGGCUAUUACGCUAUACCUCUUAAUGUCUCCUCAAGAUCAUAUGUAUAGUAAAUCCGCAAACUCACAGUUAAGGAGCACAGCGAACUCCUCUCCGCGCAGUUUCUGCUGGAAUGUUUGCGCAUAAACCUAUGUAGAUCUUGAAUUACCCUGAGAAACCAAGGAAAGCCUUCGGCAAUUACUUUCUGGAUUUUAUAGUAGAAAAAAUACUACUUAUUGAGAGGUUUUUAGAAGCCACUAUCCUUGUACGUCUUUUUAUGUCAAUCACUUCAAGCGAAAAUAACAAUAAUUCUUUUACUCAAAUAUUUCGAAUUUUGUGCCUGAACAAGCGUUCUUCCUCGGAGUUCUUUUUCAUUACUUUAAUGUCCUCAACCGAAAAUCAUAGUUUGCAUGAUUUAAAAGUGAUGGAGUUUGGCUUGGACGACGAGCUCACAAAAUAUAUGGGAGUUCCUCAAACAGCCUUUCAAAACGCUUAAAAGCAGCUGGAUACAUUCAAAAACAAGGAAAUCGGGUGCCAUAUGAACUGAAGCCAAAAGACGUUGAAGACGAUUAUCAUGUCAGAAAUGCCGCUUGACGCUACAAAAAUAAGCCGUUUUUAUUCUGUAUUUGUGCGGCGAUCCGGUUACUCGGCACGUUACGAAAUUUCACUCCAUACGAUUACUCGCUUGUUAACGAGUGCCACGAUUCGGGCCCAAGUGAAACGAUUACUGAGCAACGCCACUGACAACAAAUCAUCAAAUUGAAGCGAGCAAUUGCCGAAAAACGCCCGAAAUUUAGUCCCGAAGGCUAUUGGAAAACAGCGGCUGGAAAGUUUAUGCUCAUCCGCCUUGUAGCCCAGAUCUUGCCCUUUCUAACUACCACUUGUUUCGGUAGAUUUAGUACACCCUCACUGGAAUACGGUUCACAUCAGAAGAGGGUAUCUAAAAAUUAGGUUUAUUUAUUCUUUACAGCCAAGACGAAAAAUGUUAUAGCUACAGAUGGGAAAUACUUUGAAUAUUACUAUUGUUCACGUUUUUCUCAAAUAAAUCUUUAAAACCCGCACGAAUAUA